rnacentral:rRNA from 1 species
CCUACGGGAGACAGCAGUGAGGAAUAUUGGUCAAUGGACGAGAGUCUGAACCAGCCAAGUAGCGUGAAGGAUGACUGCCCUAUGGGUUGUAAACUUCUUUUAUAAAGGAAUAAAACGAGGCACGUGUGCCUUUUUGCAUGUACUUUAUGAAUAAGGAUCCGCUAACUCCGUGCCAGCAGCCGCGGUAAUACGGAGGAUCCGAGCGUUAUCCGGAUUUAUUGGGUUUAAAGGGAGCGUAGAUGGGUUGUUAAGUCAGUUGUGAAAGUUUGCGGCUCAACCGUAAAAUUGCAAUUGAUACUGUCAGUCUUGAGUACAGUUGAGGUAGGCGGAAUGCGUGGUGUAGCGGUGAAAUGCUUAGAUAUCACGAAGAACCCCGAUUGCGAAGGCAGCUUACUAAACUGUGACUGACAUUGAUGCUCGAAAGUGUGGGUAUCGAACAGGAUUAGAUACCCGAGUAGUC